rnacentral:rRNA from 1 species
UACGGAGGGUGCGAGCGUUGUCUGGAAUCACUGGGCAUAAAGGGCGCGUAGGCGGCGCGGGAAGUCCGUGGUGAAAGCCCGAGGCUCAACUUCGGGUCGGCCAUGGAUACUCCUGGGCUCGAGCACUGUAGAGGCAGGUGGAAUUCCGGGUGUAGCGGUGGAAUGCGUAGAGAUCCGGAAGAACACCGGUGGCGAAGGCGGCCUGCUGGGCAGUAGCCGGAAGGCUUGAAAGCUGACGCUGAGGCGCGACAGCGUGGGGAGCAAACAGG